rnacentral:rRNA from 1 species
UACGUAGGGGGCAAGCGUUGUCCGGAAUCAUUGGGCGUAAAGAGCGUGUAGGCGGCCCGGUAAGUCCGCUGUGAAAGUCCAGGGCUCAACCCUGGGAUGCCGGUGGAUACUGUCGGGCUCGAGUCCGGAAGAGGCGAGUGGAAUUCCCGGUGUAGCGGUGAAAUGCGCAGAUAUCGGGAGGAACACCAAUGGCGAAGGCAGCUCGCUGGGACGGUACUGACGCUGAGGCGCGAAAGCGUGGGGAGCAAACAGG